UUGGAAGGGCGGAGGUUCGCUCUUGGCGGUUGAUUCGUCAGCCACCGAGGGAGGAAAGUCCGAGCACCACAGAGCACGACGCCGCGUAACCUCGUAUUUCGAUACGUGGAUACACUCGGGCGGCUUGAUCGCGAGGUCAGCCGACGGAAAGUGCAACAGAAAGCAAACCGCCAAACCGGCGCAAGCCGGCGGUAAGGGUGAAACGGUGGGGUAAGAGCCCACCGCGCCAAGCGCAAGCGAGGCGGCACGGAAAACCCCGUUGGGUGCAAGGCCAAAUAGGAAGUCUCGGGGCUGCUCGCUCCUCGGCGCAAGCCGGGCUUCGGGUACUGGCCGCUAAGACAAAUGAGCCUCUCCGCGUUUCACGACGCGCAGACAGAACUCGGCUUACAGCCCUUCCAAAACU
rnacentral:RNase_P_RNA from 1 species